rnacentral:rRNA from 1 species
GGACGAACGCUGGCGGCGUGCCUAAUACAUGCAAGUCGAACGGUCUUUCUAUGGAAGCUUGCUUCCGACUGAGAAGAUAGUGGCGAACGGGUGAGUAACACGUGGGUAACCUGCCCAUAAGAGGGGGAUAACAUCCGGAAACGGGUGCUAAUACCGCAUAGUUUUCUUGAUCGCAUGAUUGAGAAAGGAAAGACGGCCUUUGUGCUGUCGCUUAUGGAUGGACCCGCGGCGUAUUAGUUAGUUGGUGAGGUAACGGCUCACCAAGACGAUGAUACGUAGCCGACCUGAGAGGGUGAUCGGCCACAUUGGGACUGAGACACGGCCCAAACUCCUACGGGAGGCAGCAGUAGGGAAUCUUCCGCAAUGGACGAAAGUCUGACGGAGCAACGCCGCGUGAGUGAAAGAAGGUUUUCGGAUCGUAAAACUCUGUUGUCAGAGAAGAACAAGUUGGAGAGUAACUGCUCCAGCCUUGACGGUAUCUGACCAGAAAGCCACGGCUAACUACGUGCCAGCCGCGGC